rnacentral:rRNA from 1 species
UGGUUGUCGUGAUGGGCGUAUGGUGGAUGCCUUGGCAGACAGUACCGAUGAAGGACGUGUGGGGCCGCGAUAGUCCUGGGGGAGCCGCCGACAUGGCUUUGAUCCCAGGGUGUCCGAAUGGGGCAACCCGCCAGCCGUCAUGGGCUGGCACCGCACUUGUGCGGGGGGUACGCAGGGAAGUGAAACAUCUCAGUACCUGCAGGAGAGGAUACUCCGUGAGUAGUGGCGAGCGAAAGCGGAUGAUGGCUAAACCGUGCGCGUGUGAUACCCGUCGGGGGUUGCGCGCAUGGUGUCGUGGGAACGCCUGUCCAACGGCCGACGCCGUUGGCUGUGGUGAUAAAUGCAUGCGUGAGGCGAACCGGGUUGGAUACCGGGCCGUAGAGGGUGAUGGCCCCGUAGCCGUAUGCGCGUGCACCAUGGAUGGUGUCUCCCGAGUAGCGCGGGACUCGUGGAAUCCCGUGUGAAUCCGCCCGGACCGUCGGGUAAGCCUGAGUAUACCUGUCUGACCGAUAGCGUACGAGUACCGUGAGGGAAAGGUGAAAAGCACCCCGGGAGGGGAGUGAAAGAGUUCCUGAAACCGUGCGCCCGCGAACCGUCGGAGCCCCCUUGGUGGGGUGACGGCGUGCCUAUCGAAAAAUGAGUCUGCGAGUCAGUGGCAUGUGGCGAGCAUAAGCCGUGUGGUGUAUGCGUAGCGAAAGCGAGUCUUAAAAGGCGUCUUUUCAGUCGCGUGUCCUGGACCCGAAGCGGGAUGAUCUAGCCCUGGUCAGGUUGAAGCGCGGGUAAGACCGCGUGGAGGACCGCACCCACUUAGGUUGAAAACUGAGGGGAUGAACUGGGGUUAGGGGUGAAAGGCCAAUCAAAUUCCGUGAUAGCUGGUUCUCUUCGAAAUGCAUUUAGGUGCAGCGUCGGUUGAUUGCGUGUGGGGGGUAGAGCUACUGGAUGCUUGCGGGCCCGUGCCGGGUACCAACAGCAACCAAACUCCGAAUACCCAUCGCGUCUAUUCCGGCAGUGAGUCGGCGGGGGAUAAGCUCCGUCGUCGAGGGGGAGACAGCCCUGACCGUCGUCUAAGGUCCCCAAGCGCGUGCUAAGUGGGAAAGGAUGUGGAGUCGCAUAGACAGCCAGGAGGUUGGCUCAGAAGCAGCCAUCCUUGAAAGAGUGCGUAACAGCUCACUGGUCUAGUGGUUCCGCGCCGACAAUGUAGCGGGGCUCAAGCACGCCACCGAAGACGCGGAUGCGGCCGUAUGGCCGUGUGGUAGGAGAGCGUCCCACACCGGGGCGAAGCGGCGGGGGAACCCGGCCGUGGACUGUGUGGGAGUGAGAAUGCAGACAUGAGUAGCGAGAGCAGGGUGAGGAUCCCUGCCGCUGGAAGACCAAGGGUUCCAGGGCCACGUUCGUCGUCCCUGGGUGAGUCGGGUCCUAAGGCGAGGCCGACAGGCGUAGUCGAAUGGAUGAACGGGUCGAUAUUCCCGUA